rnacentral:rRNA from 1 species
UACGAAGGGGGAGCUAGCGUUGCUCGGAAUCACUGGGCGUAAAGGGUGCGUAGGCGGGUCUUUAAGUCAGGGGUGAAAUCCUGGAGCUCAACUCCAGAACUGCCUUUGAUACUGAAAAUCUUGAGUUCGGGAGAGGUGAGUGGAACUGCGAGUGUAGAGGUGAAAUUCGUAGAUAUUCGCAAGAACACCAGUGGCGAAGGCGGCUCACUGGCCCGAUACUGACGCUGAGGCACGAAAGCGUGGGGAGCAAACAGGG